GACGAACGCUGGCGGCGUGCCUAACACAUGCAAGUAGAACGCACAGUUUAUACCGUAGCUUGCUACACCAUAGACUGUGAGUUGCGAACGGGUGAGUAACGCGUAGGUAACCUGCCUGGUAGCGGGGGAUAACUAUUGGAAACGAUAGCUAAUACCGCAUAAUAUUGAUUAUUGCAUGAUAAUUGAUUGAAAGAUGCUAUUGCAUCACUACCAGAUGGACCUGCGUUGUAUUAGCUAGUAGGUGAGGUAACGGCUCACCUAGGCGACGAUACAUAGCCGACCUGAGAGGGUGAUCGGCCACACUGGGACUGAGACACGGCCCAGACUCCUACGGGAGGCAGCAGUAGGGAAUCUUCGGAAAUGGACGAAAGUCUGACCGAGCAACGCCGCGUGAGGGAAGAAGGGUUUCGGAUCGUAAAGCUCUGUUGUAAGAGAAGAACGGGUGUGAGAGUGGAAAGUUCACACUGUGACGGUAUCUUACCAGAAAGGGACGGCUAACUACGUG
rnacentral:rRNA from 1 species